AUUGUCUCUUGUCGGACCCACAUUUUUUGUUGAAGGUGCUCGAACAAGGUGGGGGACGUUAGUUACUUCCGUUACUCAAUCAGUAAAAACGACAGUGUUUCGGACAUCGUCUCCGUUACAGUUAGUUAAUGACAGUUGUUCCUCGGUUACGGAAAAAACGAGAGUGGAGUAAACACACACCACAUUUAGCUGCCACAUAUUCUGGGUGGAUGUCACGUUCCAGAGAUGGAGCGUGUAGUAACUAACGUGGCUAAUAACGGUCGUUUGAAAACAAUGUCUGAACGUUUUUUUGACUCUUUGUCUUCGUUGAGUUGGGUCCCGUGGAAUCUUGUUGACUUGCUUUGACACGUGAAUUAUGAAUCUACAAGCGUACAUAUGUCUCAACAUUUAUAAUUAGUUUUUUUAUCAUAGUAAUUAACGUAUAAUGUUUUAUUAAUCUUUUCAACUUUAUAAAUAUUUCUUCGUGGACGUUUUUAUGUAUUAUUUGGAGAUACUGGUAGAUUCGUACAGUGUUAUAAAUCCUUUAAUUAAUGGAUGCUACUAUUCAUAAAUUUAUUAAUAAAAUUUCCGAUGAUUUCGAGGUAUACUUAUUUUCCAUAUUUAAUAAAUUUAAAGUUACCUUUAAAUCUUCUUAAUUGGUUAAUUAUGACCGAGUAAUGUACCAUAAAACUUGAGACUAACCAUUAUGUAAGAAGUAUAUAUCUAAAAUAUUAUCUUUUUUUUUUGUCACUGAUCUAUAAAAUAUUAUCAUAUUAUAUGUUUUUCACAUAUAAAAGGAUACUAAUACAUUCGUUUCAACAUUUUCAAAAUGAUGUAAUUUAUUACACUAAACAGAAAAUAAGAAACCCCAUUAACGUAAUUUUUUAAGUAUAGGCUAAGAUCUUCUUCUUUUUUUGAACGUAAGUAUAGGCUAAGAUCAAACGUGUGAAUUUGACUCGCGUGCCACAUAUACAUUGCAUUUGCAGCAAUGGCGUCAUAUACUAAUUUGAGUAAAAUUACAUGAGUAGAGAUAUGAUGCUCUGGUCGACAUGAGAAGAUAUAAACACUCACUACAAGAAAUAUGAAUAUUGGUAGCAGUUCGUGGUAGCACGAAUUCACGAACUGCUACCAAAAGUGUUAAAAUCGAAUCACAACUCUAUUCAAGCUUUAAAUUUGUGCUACGAAAAAAUUUCAUUAAAAGGAAACCGAAAAAUCAGUUUCGUAGCUGGAAUGUCAUUUUGGAGGUAAAAACACUUGGUGAAAUUUCACAUUCGCACCAAAAAAAAUAAGUUAUUUUUUACAAAAGAAAAAAUAUUCAUUCUCUCCAUCUUCUUCUUCUUCAUUGUUCAUUCAGAAUUGAUCUAUCAUUUCAAUCGAAGAAACAUGAUCCAUUGGCCUUGUUCGAAGUCGAAUUAAGGAACCCUAAUCCGUCAAGCCACUGGAUCUCGUUGUCGUAGACUCUUCGUCUUCUUCCCAAAACUCCUCCAUCCACGGCGAAUUGGCUCCUUCGCCUUCCUCCGUCGCUCUUCGCCACCAUCAGUUUUGCCAUCUCUCGCUUCUUCUUCUUAUUCCUUUCGUAUUAUCAAUUUCAAUUGCUCAGGUUUGUAAAAGCUUCCACCUUUCUUCAAUGGUUCCUCCACAGGCUUACGAUAUUCUCACUUAUACUAUCUUAAACUUUUGGGCUUAGGUCACUGAGGAGCAGCUUGAUGGUUUGUUCAUCGGCUUUGGGCAGGUCUAAGUCUUCUUUACAAGUUCAUCUUUGUUUGUGGUGUGUUCUUUAUCAAGACUAGUUUUGGUUGUUUAGGUUGUUGAAUGUUUCACCACAUUCUGGGUCGGGUCUUGCUUUGUCUCCGCCGUUUUCUCCACCGCUUCAUAGAUCCGCCGUGUUCGAGCUCGUGGCCGCCAAUCUAAGGUACGUUUGUCUCCACUGGAGUUUUGACUGUCUUGUACUUGCUCAUUUAUUUGUUUCUUAGUUGGUCUCAGUGAACAUACGUGAUUGAACUUGUAGAACUUAUCUAAUAUUGAGUUGCUGUUUGUAUUGUCUCUUUUUUUUUGUCCAAUCUGAAGUUGUGUGAAGAAAUCUGUGGAGAUUAUGAGGAAGUUCUCAGAGCAGUACGCUCGUUGCUCGGGAACUUACUUAUGUGUUGACAAAGGAGUUACUUCUGUCGUCAUCAAGGUUUGUAAAUUAACCUUAAAGUCUCCAACUUUCUGGUAGAAUUGUGUUGACUCAGCUUUCUGUUCUUUGUUCAAAGAUUAUAUGAUUUGGAGGAGAUUGGUUCUUUCUACUUGUAGAUAAUGACUUGCCAGAAGAUGUUUGGCGUUGUUUUCUUGAUAUAUAUACAGUAGGCAGUAGCUAUUAGAAAUCUUGAUGUGGGAUUUUGUUGAACAGGUGGUGUUUUCAUCAAAAGUUUCUAUCAUUCGAUUGGUUAUGAACUACUUGAAGAAAAACUGAGUUAGUUCAUGUGAAGAUCUUGAAAUCUAGUGCUUAUUAACUAAUGAAGAUGUUGAGUUUCUUCUUGUAAUAGUGAAUGAAUCUGCUGAAAAAAUUGAGUCGGUAUUAAUUAAAAUCUUCAGUUCUAGUGCUUAACUAAACCAAAUGGAUAAGUCUUCUAGUUGUAGAAUAGUGAUUCAGUGAUUCUACAGAAGAGAUUGGUCUAUGCAUGUGAACAUUUCGGCCUCUAGUUCUUAGCUAAUGAAGUGGUUGUUUCUGGGAACGGGGUAUGACUGAGCAUAAGGAUUCGUAUAGUGCACCGCUUUGUCCUUGCAGGUGAUCUUUGGAAUUUUUUUGAAGAUUGAAGAUGAAGCCCCUAGACUUAAUUGUUUUUGUUUAUGUGUAUUUUUGGAUGAUAUAUGAAAUAAUGUAUGUUUUAUAAAUUUAAUGAAAUAUAAAUUUUUAUUUAUAGAUCAAAUUGCCAUGUUUAAAUGAUAAUUAGAGUUUUGUUAUAAAAUAUUUUAUAUAUCAUCGUAUAUUUUAUAUAGUUGUGUUAGAUGUAAAAAAUCAUAAUUUAUUGCAAAAUAAUUGUAUUUUAAUUUAUACUUUUGAGUGUAAAACACUAAAACUAAAGCAUAAAAAUGGAUUUUUAUUAUAUAAUAUUUUAUAUAUAAUAGUUUAGGGGUUUAUAUGUUUAGUGUGAGACUAUUAUAUGGAAUUUGGUGUACUUCAUGUUCCUAAACCCUAAACAUGUUUCUAUACCCUAAACAUUAAUUUUAAAACUUAAUUUUUUUCAUAAUAUAAUUUAAAUCUAAAACUUAAAUUCAAAAUCUAUAGUUUGAUCAUAUUUAAAAUCUAAUCUCAAAUUUAAAAUUUAAACCUCAAACACUAAAUCUUAAAUCUACACCCUAAAUAUAAUACCCUAGACCCCAAACUUAAACCCUACAUACAAAGUCAUACUAAAUAUAAUCUUUUCAAAUAACUACUAAACUAAAACCUAUUCCUUGUAUAAAUCACAACUUUAUUAAUCUUUUUCUUUUCAAAUAUUUAUCUCAAGUUUUAACUUAGCCACAAUUCUAUUUCACAAAUCUCAAACCAUAUACUUUAAACUCAAUCACAACUAUAUAAACUAAUAGUCAACAAUUAUAACAUUAGUUAAUAAAAUUUUAAAACUAAACUUAUAAGUAUUAAUUUAAAAUUUUAAUUUGAUUUCAAACAUCAUAUUUUAAAAUUAUAAACCAAAUUAUCAAAAUAUUUAAAAUAGUACAGCAAAAGAAAAAAACAAAAAGAAAAAAAAUUGGCUAGCUAUUAAAAAAGAAAAGAAAAACUAUGGGCCAAUCAACUCUCAUCACGCGGAUAACCUUCUGCACCGUAGGAUACAAUUAAAUGAAUGGCUGAGAUGUUUUCUUUUCUUUUUUCUCUUAUCUUCACAGAUCUCUUUUCUCUCCAUCUCUCUUCCAUCGACAAAUCUCUCCUCCAUCUUCUAUUUUCAGAUUUCAUCUCCUCUAUCUUUAUUCUUAAUCAUCUCUCUCUCUCUCUCUCUCUCUCUCUCUCUCUCUCUCUCUCUCUCUCUCUCUCUCUCUCUCUCUCUCUCUCUACUCCCCUCACUCACGAACAAGAUUCAUCUCACACAGACACGUUUCUGUGUCUCAGUCUCGUAAUCUUUCUCUCACAUACGACACAUCUCAAAAAAGCAGAUUAUUCAAACCAGGCAGGACGACGACGACCGCUGGUUCUGUCUCUCUCUCUCUCUCUGUCAGUUUAAAUCUGAUUUUAUUUGUUUUGUUUGUAGGGUCGAUUCAACACAUGAGAGGUUGGAGAAAAUGAUUGUACAUCCGCUCAUCACAACCACCACACCAUCGCAUCUCAGAUCCAUUUUCGUCGUUUAAGAAGGCGUAGGAGGCUGAAGAAACUUGAUGGUGGUGGUCUCGGCAUCAACAGUGGUGGUCUCGGCGUCGACAAUGGUGGCUGAGCGCGGUUGAGGAGACUGAAAAAUCUUUACCGUGGUGAUCGUGGCUGGUGGUCUUGGCGUCAACAAGGAGUGCGCCGGAGAUUGAAGAAGAACGUGGUUUAGUUAGGUUUGGUUAGGGUUAGUUAAUAAACCGGGUUUGGCUGUAAACCGGUUUUUGUAAUAAACCGAUAUCAUCUGUAAACCAAAAUUUUAAUAAUAAAUAAUUUUAUUCUCAAA